rnacentral:misc_RNA from 1 species
AACACUGUUAACCUGCGGUACCUGCGGAAGGAUCAUUACAGAGUGUAAAAACUCCCAAAACCCAUGUGAACAUACCUUUUUGUUGCUUCGGCGGGAUCGCCCCGGGCGCCUUGUGUGCCCCGGAGUCAGGCGCCCGCCGGGGGACCCAAACUCUUGUUUUUAACGAGUAUCUUCUGAGUAACGUUUUUAAAUAAAUAAAAACUUUCAACAACGGAUCU